GCGGGGAUAGCUCAGUUGGGAGAGCGUCAGACUGAAGAAAUAACUUCAUUCGAUUCUAUUCAUUAAUCUGAAGGUCGUGCGUUCGAUCCGCACUCACCGCA
rnacentral:tRNA from 2 species